UUUCUCUUCCUCCCGGUCUGUUCGGUGCGGCCAUUUUUAAGUUUCGGAAGCGUGUUAGUUGGUGUCGCCUAAUAUUACGUUGUUUUACUGCAUUUACAGAAUUGGUUCUAAUACGAGCCAAAAAUGCCAGGGUUUAGUAGCGUUGGUACAUUCAAAAUUUUUAUCGGCAACUUAGCUGAUAAAACUUCAAAUGCUGAUAUUAAGCCACUUUUCGAGAAAUAUGGAAAGGUUGUAGAAUGUGAUGUUGUCAAAAAUUAUGGAUUUGUGCAUAUGGAAAAUGAAGAGGCUGGAAGAAAUGCAAUUCAAAAUUUGAAUGGACAAAUAGUUCAUGGACAGCCCAUAAAAUGUGAAGCAGCAAAGAGUCGUAAAGGGCCCAAUACUCCUACGACAAAAAUUUUUGUUGGCAAUCUUACAGACAACACAAAAGCACCUCAAGUGCGGGAAUUAUUUGCUAAAUAUGGCACUGUCGUGGAAUGCGACAUAGUACGAAACUAUGGAUUUGUUCACCUAGAAGCCACAGGUGAUGUAAAUGAUGCCAUCAAGGAGCUUAAUGGACAAAUUGUGGAUGGACAACCUAUGAAGGUACAGAUAUCCACGAGCAGAGUGCGACAAAGGCCAGGAAUGGGAGAUCCAGAACAAUGCUACCGAUGCGGACGCGGAGGCCAUUGGUCCAAGGAAUGUCCAAAAGGAGGAAUGGGAGGAGGCCCGGACAGGAAUGGAUUUCGUGACAGAAUGUUUGGACGUGACCCGUAUCCUCCACCGCCGCCACCACCUUUCCUUCGGGAACGGCUGAUGGGUGGUGGCCGCUUUGGAGACUACGAAAGCUACUAUGACAGGAGGGGCUUCGACGACACCAGGGAUCUCUACGAAAGGAGAUUUACCGGUAUGUCAGGGCCUUGUGACAUGGGAACAUCCAUGUGCGGGCUAGACUUUCCACCAAUGACAAUGCCACCUCUACCUCCAAGACGAGACCCAAUGCCUCCUAUGCCUCCUCUAGGUAUGGGAUCCAUGCGAGACUCUGGCUUCUCCCGAGGCAACGAUUAUGGAAUGUUCAGCCGACGAUCACCCCCUCCAAGCGGCAAUAACGGCCGGUUCAGUUGGGUACGUAUUUCCGUGUAGACUCUGCAGCGGAAGAGAGCGUGUUCUGUAUCGUCCUGUUCGGCGCCGCAUUCCUGACAGGACUCGAUAGCACUGCUACUACUACCAAACCUAUGGACUGUACUUCAAAGGAGUUGGGCUGGAAAUCCAUGUAGGAAGAGAUGUCCAACGUGUCCCAUUUGGCGAUAUGUAAUUGUCAACCAGGACUCAG
rnacentral:misc_RNA from 1 species